rnacentral:rRNA from 1 species
GACGAACGCUGGCGGCGCGCCUAAUACAUGCAAGUCGAGCGAGAACCGGGACUUCGGUCCCGGGGACAGCGGCGAACGGGUGCGUAACACGUGAGCAACCUGCCCCGAAGACCGGGACAAGCCGGGGAAACCUGGUCUAAUACCGGAUGUCCUCACCGAAUCGCAUGGUCUGGUGAGGAAAUGGAUUCCGCUUCGGGAUGGGCUCGCGGUCUAUCAGCUUGUUGGUGGGGUAAUGGCUCACCAAGGCGACGACGGAUAGCUGGUCUGAGAGGACGAUCAGCCACACUGGGACUGAGACACGGCCCAGACUCCUACGGGAGCAGCAGUAGGGAAUCUUGCGCAAUGGGCGAAAGCCUGACGCAGCGACGCCGCGUGCGGGAAGAAGGCCUGGUGUAACUCUUC